rnacentral:lncRNA from 1 species
ACACGUUAGAAUAAAGAAGAUGGAUGCCCUGUGGGAAAUAGGGAGUUAAUAAAAAUCUUUAAGCAGAGGAGUCAGAUAUUAAAAUGAAAGCUUUUGGAACCCUGGAAAUGGUAUAAAAAUGGGUGAAUUGGAGCUCAGAGGGGAGCAAUCCGGAAGUGACAAGGAGUGACUUUGGGAAUGGGCGCAGUCACAUCAGCGUGCCUCAGUGUAAUAUACUACUCAUUUCCUAUAUCCAAGUCAAUUUCAUUCUUUCUCCCUGUGAUCAGAUGUUCCCUACCAACAUUUCAGAGGAAGAGUUUCUAUCAUUUACUUUACACUGAAGACAGAAUUCCUGUUGGUAUCGUCAGCUGAGGUGUUAGACACACGAGAAAAACCAUCUUGGGCUUUCUAGCUCCAGUCUAGAUACAAGUUGAAUGGAGUUCAUGAAUAUCCCCAUCCAACACCAUAAGCAGCAGAAAAUUGCCUCUGAUGGGCUCAGACAACCUAUAUGAUGGUGAGAAAUAAUAAAUUAUUGUUGCUUUAUACUGCUAAGUUUGAU